GUAUUUAAAGUGCACUUUUUCUUUUUGGAAUUUUCAGUGUGAACGCACUACUCACACUAUUUAUACUUCAAAACGUCACAGAAUAGUGCAUACGUACACGAUUUGGGAUGCACCUUAAGACUUAAAUGUGUA